AGGGGGCGUGGGAGGCGGCGAAGUGCGGAGGAGACCGUAUGGGAAGAGGAGGGACUUGCACCAAGCGCCAUUUUCUUCUCUCGAAGCCUUCGCCACCCCCAGCACACCACCCGUCCUUCCCCCACCCACAGUCUUCCUCCGACGGGGUCCGCUCUCUCCCUCCCCUACACAGCCCCCCACCCUAGGGGCCGCGGUGAGAGCCCCAGCAAAGCCUUGAGGAGAAGCGGGCUCCGCACGCGCACCCGCUGUGGCCCGGGCCGCCGCUGCAUUGUCCCGGGGGCGCCCCGGCCCCCUCCCCGAAGCUCCCCACCCCGCCCGGCCACGCCCCGCCGCCCGGGACGGCCGCACUCGCCGCGCCGGAGCCAUUCCCGGGAGUCCGCUUCUGGCGCGGAGCGGCCUACAGCGCAUGGGGUGCGGGUUCGAAGAAGGAGGAGGUCCAGCGAGGCCGAGGCGGGGAAAGAGGAGGUCUGGCAGCGCCGCCAUUUCCCACGGCCGUCGCCUACGAACGGACUUUCUGCUCGCUCGCUUGCAACUGACAGAGAACCGGAAGUGACGAAAGUCAAGAGCUGCCGGCCCCGCCCCUCUGGGACUGCUUACACGUGAUGGGGCGUGGCCUCCUCGCCGAAACCAACAGCGAGACCCUUUCCAGGGCCUUAAAGGGACCGCCCUCGACCUGAGCCAGUGCCUUGAAGGUGAAAUACAGCAAAGAUUGAACCUGACCUGUGAGUGUGACCGAGGGCACGAAUAAAACAUGAAUAACAAA